rnacentral:misc_RNA from 1 species
UCUCUCUCUCUCUCUCUGUGUGUCACACACGCGCGUGCACGCUCUUACACCUUUACACAUGUGCUUGCAUGCUUGUGUGUGUUUGUGUGAGGCUCUGAACCUAUAGCUGCAGUACCGUACUGUGCCAAUUGUGAAGCUAGACUCUUGAUCCUACUACAGUUUCUGGAUUUUGCAUAGAACAACUUGGGUAGGAGUUUUUUACGAUCUUGCUAUAAGAUGACCAAGACGCCUAAGUGAGAAAAUUAUGGUCAUUUGUUUUUUUGAAGCCUGAGAUGUAUGGGUUCUAUAAACGCACCAUUGGUUUGGUUCUAGGGAAGCCUCUCACAUUAGGUUGUUUUGCACAAGUUGUAGAAUUGUUGAAGGAGAAGAUUUUUUUUUUUUGUGAAACUAUCCCCAGAUUGACAAAUUUGGUAGUUCAUGCUUUUGUGUAAGAUAAUAAGUGAAACCAAAUUCAUGGAAUGCAAAUUCAAUUUUUAUGUUUAAUGACUUUAUGAGGUUGAUCCCUGGUUGUAGAACACUGGUAGUAGGCAAUGUAAAUUGUAGCCUCCAAUUUGUCUUGAACAACUGUUUGUUUUAUCUCCAUGUUGUUGUGGUAAACGUGUGGAACUCGUUCACCAGAGUUGGAAGAUAAUGGAGUACGCAUCUUUCUUU